UUCCGGAACCGGUUCUCAAAAAUUAGUUAUUAUUAAUGUCUAUAAUCAAAGUCCACGUGAAUACCUUUCCAACGAUCCUCGGACGGUCCUGAUUACUUGUUUGGUUGCAAACGGCAUUUUUCAGUUGAAGCAGGUUCCCGGUGGCCACAGUGGCCAAAUUCGGAUUUCUCCGGUGGUUUUGAAAACUAGACUUGUGCCCCUUUCAUUUGAGCCAAGAGAUCCAAAAUUGGACAAGCCACUGAUUUUUGCGAGCUGUCCAAAGUUUGGGGUUAAAAAUGACCCCAGGGUCUUAUUUGUAACUUGUUUAUGGGAGUGCCUCUAGGGGUCAUUCAAUGCUUUUAAUUUUUGGGAAAGCUUUAUUUUCACGAAAAUAUAAUUGUCAGAAAAUGUAAGAUUGCUAGGAUUCGUUAAACAAAAGCUACAGAGAAUUGAAAUUUGAAAAAGGUCAAAAAUGACCCCAAGACCUUACUAUGUUAUAAAACAUGUUGAGAAACUAAAUUUUAUUUGGAUUUUGAGAAAAAUGGCACUAAAAAUUCUUCACAUUUUAGCAUUUAAAUGCUAAAUUUUUGAACUGAAGGUUGUUCUAAAAUAAUGAAAAUUCUCUGUAAAAAAAAUAUUGAUUCGCCGCGACACACCAGCGGAACUGACGUUUCUCUUCACACACGCGGAAAUAAACCCGACGUACCGAAAAACAAUCAUUUGGAUACAAGAGCUGCGGACCCCUGCAUCCACUUUCCCGAAAAUGUCAGCGGAUCUAAUGUUUCUCUCCACAACCUUUAAAUUUCCGAUCCUAGUAAGCAGAAACAACCAAAACGAAUUCCGAAUCAAGAAUCAUCGCCACGUUUAAUAGGGAAUUCUCAACCCCCCUCCUCUCUUUGUACGGGGUUCCCUAUCUAACCUGUUUAAUUGAGCGAUAUUAUCUGCAUUGUUAAACUCCGUUAAAAAAGUUGCAGCAUAAAUUAGAUGAAAACGAUUAUUGAACCUAGUUUUUAAACCAUAAAACUUAAUGUUUUAAUACAAAGAAGAAUGAUAUCACAAUUUCAUUGCGCUUAAAUUUUUUGGAUUCAUCAUGAUCAUCAAGAGUUUUCCGUGAAAUACUAUCAGUAUUGGAAUGCUUUCUGUGUAUUUCGCAAGAAGAUCACUACACACUAAGAUCAACUCGUUAUUUUCCCCAUGUUUUUACCGAGUUUACAGCAGAUUUAACUCGGUACACUCGGUUAUUCUUUUUGCUGAAUACUCUGUGAAUGAGUUAACGAGUUCUGCAAAUGAACUGUCAACAAUUACAGAUGAACGGUAAAUAUCGUUACAGGUGAAUGGUAAAUGUUGAUUACCGAGUUAAAUCUGCUGUUGAAAAUUCAGUAAAAAGAUGGAAAAAAUUAAAACAUAAUAAAUUAAGUAAAACAGAUCCCAGCUAUGUUCAUUUGUUUGAAGAUAUAGCACGUGCAUUUAGUAUGAUGUUUGAAUCGUAAUAUAACACGUUAAACCUGUAUCACAUAGUUUAAUACGGAGAAUCAUUCUCCAGAUUCGCUCCAUUUGCACAUUACAUGGUCUCCGCAUAUGCAAAGAUCUAGUUGUGGUUCGGCACUGAAUGUCAAGCCAAUGAAUUAUUGGCAAACGUUGGUUCUAAUAAAAUUGAACUCAAUAUACUAAGACUGAAAACGUGCAUGUAAAUCUGAACACCGAAUCCCGCACUCUGUACGUGUCCGCUACGACCACACUUAGGCCUUUCGGGCGUAAAAUGAGCACACCAUGUAGGAGAACUUUUCUCGACGUGUUUCUGUUUAUCGUGCGCUCACGUAGGUCGGCUCUCGAUAGUAGUGGAGUGGUUUUAGGACGCUUCUUUAGUUCGUAACGUGAUUACUAUCGGUUUUCCCUCUUAUUUUUUGUCCAAAAUCCCUUUGCAAAACGCAACUUCCCGAGAGGGCCAUAUCCAAAUGUUAUCUCAUGGAGGUAUCAUUCUUCCUUUCUUCCGUCC